GUCAAGAUGGCCGAGUGGUUAAGGCGCCAGACUUAAGUUCGAGAAAGGCGUGGGUUCGAACCCCACUCUUGACA